rnacentral:rRNA from 1 species
AUUCACGCUAGCGGCGUGCCUAAUACCUGCCAGUCGCGCGAACAGACGAGGAGCUUGCUCCUCUGACGUUAGCGGCGGACGGGUGAGUAACACGUGGAUAACCUACCUAUAAGACUGGGAUAACUUCGGGAAACCGGAGCUAAUACCGGAUAAUAUAUUGAACCGCAUGGUUCAAUAGUGAAAGACGGUUUUGCUGUCACUUAUAGAUGGAUCCGCGCCGCAUUAGCUAGUUGGUAAGGUAACGGCUUACCAAGGCGACGAUGCGUAGCCGACCUGAGAGGGUGAUCGGCCACACUGGAACUGAGACACGGUCCAGACUCCUACGGGAGGCAGCAGUAGGGAAUCUUCCGCAAUGGGCGAAAGCCUGACGGAGCAACGCCGCGUGAGUGAUGAAGGUCUUCGGAUCGUAAAACUCUGUUAUUAGGGAAGAACAAAUGUGUAAGUAACUAUGCACGUCUUGACGGUACCUAAUCAGAAAGCCACGGCUAACUACGUG